AGCUGAUGAUGGGUCGGUAUCGCGAGAGGCGCUUGAUGGCGCUGGACUGGUGGGGGCUGGAUGCGCACAUGCACGGCUCGCCCUCUCUGAGCCGUUGGAUCACACGUAAGGACACGCGACCGGACCAAGGCGGACCGGAGAGAGGAAGAACUCGCACGGUCCGGGCUUUGCUGCUGUAGCGACCAGACGGGACUCAAUGUGACCUCAGCGGACUGAGAAGAUUAGUGAAACCGAAGAAGAAAAGCACCAAAGUCCCCACAUGGGAGUAGAGACGUUGUCCAAACCACUGAUUUCUGACAGAUUGUGCCAAAGGAUGCUUUGGAACCGCUCUUAUGUUUUCAGACACAGACUUCUAAAUCUUUACAGCUAGAAAGAGGAGGACAAAAAGCCAAACAUUGCCUUGUACAAGUGGACCAGUCACAAUCCGAGAGUUAGAGGGUUGCAUGGGGGCCAAAUUCCUGCACAAGACCAACUGCAUCACCUCAGUCUACAGCCACCACCUCCCUUCUCCUGCUGUGAUAUUUUACUGAUCCUCCUUUCAUUCAUUCUACCCCUUUCUUGCUCAUGGGAGUGACAUAGAGGCUGAAGUUUGGUCUUCUGCCCCACCCCUUUUCUGCAUCGCUGUGGAAACAGGGAUGUCCAGGUAGAGAUGUCGUGGAAGAGGAACUACUUUGCAUCAGGUGGUGGAGCGGCUGGCGGGUUGCAAGGUCUGGUGACCCCGAGAACCAUGACCUCCAUUGCACCCAGCAAAGGCCUGAGCAAUGAGCCGGGACAAAAUAGCUGCUUCCUCAACAGCGCUCUGCAGGUGUUGUGGCAUCUCGACAUCUUCCGCAGAAGCUUUCGACAGCUUACCAGUCACAAGUGCAUGGAGGACUCAUGCAUCUUCUGCGCUCUGAAGAGUAUCUUUGCCCAGUUCCAGUUCAGCAGUGAGCGCGUUCUGCCAUCUGAUGCACUGCGGAGCGCUCUGGCCAAGACUUUCCAAGACGAGCAACGCUUUCAGCUGGGAAUCAUGGACGACGCUGCUGAGUGCUUUGAGAAUCUCCUGAUGCGGAUCCACUUCCACAUCAGCGCGGAGAGCAGAGAGGACAUCUGCACAGCCAAACACUGCAUACCACACCAGAAGUUUGCCAUGACUCUGUUUGAACAGUGUGUGUGUAACAGCUGUGGAGCCACAUCAGACCCCCUGCCCUUCAUUCAGAUGGUUCAUUACAUCUCCACCACGUCCCUCUGUAACCAGGCAGUGAGGAUGCUGGAGUGCAGAGAGAAACCCACACCGGACAUGUUUGGGGAGCUGCUUCGCAACGCCAGCAACAUGGGAGACCUCCGCAACUGUCCUAGUAACUGUGGGGAAGUGUUGCGUAUCCGCCGGGUGCUGAUGAACUCACCCGAAAUCGUGUCCAUUGGGCUGGUGUGGGAUUCAGACCACUCUGACCUCGCAGAGGACGUCAUACACAGCCUGGGAACCUGCCUGCGUCUGGGAGAUUUGUUCUACCGUGUGACAGACGAGAGGGCUCGCCAGGCGGAGCUCUACUUGGUGGGAAUGGUGUGCUACUACGGCAAGCACUACUCCACCUUCUUCUUCCAGACCAAGAUACGCAAGUGGAUGUACUUUGACGACGCCCACGUCAAAGAGAUUGGCCCGAAGUGGAAGGACGUAGUGUCUCGCUGUAUCAAAGGCCACUAUCAACCCCUGCUGCUGCUCUACGCUGACCCCAGAGGGACGCCGGUGAUACUGCAGGAGAGCCCCAACCCUUGUACCAGCUCCAACCCGCAGCUGGAGCUCCAGCACUGCAGCAGCAAAGCUGGUUACGACAGCGAGGACUCGGGUCGGGAGCCAUCCAUAUCCAGCGAUACCCGUACCGACUCCUCAACGGACAGCUCCAGCCAUCGCACCACUCGCAGCAGACCCCUGCACCAGUCUACGGGCAGCCACCUCUCCAGUGAAUCCCAGACCACAGUGGUCUACAACUACGACCCCAGCACGCCGCCGCUCGGUGCUGACGCUGGAGAGUCAGCAGUGGAGGGUACACCCCACCAUCCCUCUCCUCCUCGGCAGGAGUACAAAGAGACAGCAGUCUUCCUACUUUCUUCACGCAGGCCCCUCACCUCCUCUUCCUCUCGCCCCUUGUCCUCCUCAUCUUCAUCAGGAGUUGGGGGCUGUGAGGGUGGGGCUGGGGGGCCCCACUGGGAGGAUGAAAGCACAAGCAGUGAGAGCAAGUCCAGUUCCUCUGGAGGCUGUUACCGGCCAACCUGGAGGCCCAGGCGAGAGGCCCUGAACAUCGACAGCAUCUUUACCCAACAAAGAGAUUCAUCUUUAGGCUACAGCUCUGCGCCUGACCCCCCUCUCCCUCUGGUGACUCAGGAGGGCCUCCCCUUAGCAGGAUUCAUUUUACAGCCAAGAACUGAGGAAACUGAAAGAAGGGAGGUCAGGGAGGUGGGCUUUGGACUGGUAGGACAGCCCAGGUCUUUGGCAGGUGGACGGACGAUGGGUCCCCCUGCUCCUCCACCUCUGAGAGGGGUGGAGCACCAGCCACGUCUGAUCCAGAGGAUGGAGAGUGGAUACGAAAGUAGUGAGAGGAACAGUAGCAGCCCUGACAGGGAGGUGGGGCAACAGAAGCGGAUGCUCAUGGCGGGACCUUCAUGGCGUUCGGUGCCGAAGUCAAAGAGCAGCGGCGCUAUCAUGCAGGAGGUGCCUCCACCCAGCUGGGCCCGGGGUGCACACACAGGCUUAAGGCGCAGUGAGCUGGAUGAGCUGCAGGAGGAGGUGGCAAGGAGAGCCCGCCAGCAGGAGCAGCAGAAACGGAAGGAGGUGGAGCAAGAGGCAGCCCUGGGAUUCAACCCCAAACCCAGCAAAUUCAUGGACCUGGACCUGCUCCAGCACCAGGCUGUGCUCAGACCCCUGCAUGAGGCUAACGCUCAUAGCGGAUUGGCUGUAGCUGCGUGCAUGAGGAGCACUGGGGGCCCAAUCAAACGCAGACAGGAACAGGAAACGGAACAGGACACAGGAAACGCCCAUCCACAGGGGCCAUGCAGUGAACAGCCUGGCUCGGUCCAAGUAUUACUGAUGCCCAAUCAGGAGGAGGGAGAGGACCAGGCAAAGCCCAGUCAGGACGCUGCUCAGGGCCAGGACCCACCCCCUCCGUCCUACCGCCCCCCUCGACCCAUGCUUACCCUCAGCACCUCUCACCCUUGCACUCCUUCUGGUCAAGGAGAGGAGGAGGGCAGGCACACGGCGAGGAGAGGGGAGGAAGGUGAGGGUGGGCAGGACGGAAUGGGGGUGAGGCUGUGUGAGUUGCUGCAGGCAGGAGGGGUGAGCGUCAGACCAUUGGGGAAGCACUUAGCCAUCUCCCUACCUUCGCUUCCUCUGCGUCUCUGGGAUACACACAUCACACACACCUCAAACUCCACACACACCCCGCCUCCCCCGUCUCCCCCUCUGGACACCUUUGGGCAAAGGAAACCUCCUGCUCCACUCUGGCAGCCCCCACAGCCUCACACACCCGAUGACGAGGUUCAGCAUUGGCAGCAGCAUGGAGCAGCCACAGAGAGCGGCACACGCCACUGGUCCUCCUGGAGCCUGGACCGCCCUGACGCCGUGGUGACACCAUACAACACCCCCCCAGACUGCUGCAUCCCCAUCAGACCGCUGAUGCCCGGUCAAAACUACAGCCAUAGCUGCCAGUCUUCUCCAGGGCACUACACCUCCCAGCAUGCCUUAGGGCGGCACGGUGACCCCUGCUGUGACCGAGAAGAGGCUGAGCUGUCUGAACUCGACACCCUAUUUCAGGCCAGUCUGCUGGCUGGAAGAGCAGGUUGUAGCCCAUCUGAGAGGCUGAUAUCUCGGAUGGGAGGGCAGGCACGCUCCAAGACCCCCAACGCAGACAUGGAGAGGAGUGUGUACGGAGCGGACGGCACCAACACCCCCUCCUACGUCAACAAGCCAAUGAUGUUGCGGGAUCCGUGUUUGGAGGUGGGGCCUGAUGAUGGGGAAAAUCUGCGGCGAAUCGGACGCAGCCUGAGUGGCACAGUAGUGACCUCCCGCCGCAGCCGCCUGACUGCAACCCGCAGCUUCGUGAAGCAGUCUGAUGUCAGUGCCUCUCCUUGCUUACUUCCUCUCUUCUGAGUCCCUGUUGCUAUUCCAUCACUUCCUUUCAUCCUCAUCACCAACACCUUCCUCAUCACCACUUCCCUUCACUGCUUCACAGGAACUGUCGGGCAGUGCAGGAAGUGCAGGAAGUUUCUGGCUGUGUCUCACGGGGGUCAAAGUGUCCUCGGACCGGAGUCCUGCUCUGUUUCAAUGAAGUCCCCCCAGUACAAGGCAGCAGUGCUUUGGUCUGUGACAGCGUCGCCUUGACGAACCUCAAAUUGGCUCGAACAGGCCGAGUCCUGUUCCUAAACCUCCUCCUUCAAAUAACAAACACAUGCACGCACAUCUGCACUGAUGACUAGCCUCCCUCAGCUUUGCCCCUCCUUGCCUUUCUGCCCCUCCCCUUUGACCUUCGAUUCUGUCUAUGCAGUCACUCUGACCCCUUAAUACAACCUCAGCCCCCACCCCCCACCCCACCCAUAAACUGUUGUUUCUUGUCCCCCUUUGCCGGGGUUUCCCUGUUUAGUCUAUCUGGUCUGAUGGGGACGAGAGCUCUCAGCUAAACUUGUCCCUCCAAGCCUGAGGGAAGACUCUUAAACAAGUAGCCACGCCUCUUCCUAUUUCUUCGUGGGCAUUUCCUGUUGGACGCACAUGUAGCUGAACUGAACCUGUUUCAGAUGGACAGCCAUAUUUUUCUCUCUUCUUUGCUUUUGGGAUUUUGUUGUGUUUUUUCUGCUGUGUGUCGGUGCACAGUGAACCCAUGAGACUGAACUCUAUUAACUACAAAUCAAAUAGUUGUAUACAGAAAAAAAAACUAAUGUAUGAAACCUGUAUGUUAAUUAAGACCUAAUGGAAUGUUGAUAAUUAACAAAUACUGACAAACUAAAGGUGGUACUUCCUCAUGUCUGCAUUUCAAAUAGGAGUGGAGUGCACUUCACAAGUGUCUAGUUGGAGUUUCCACCCCCAAAUCAGACCUAAUGUCAGUUCUCCCGUUUCUACUGGGAGAUUUAACAAGAAAAGCGCUUCCUGGUUUUUUGUUUCCUGCGCCUUUCCCUCUAGUCUUUUCUUUCUCUCGGCCCUUGUCGCUAUGUUUGAUUCUCGCUUGCUUUCUCCGUUUGAAGCGGGAAAAGGUAGCACCAGAAACAGGCCAGCAGGGAAGGAAAGUGAAGAUGGAAUGAGAGAAUGUAGGUGAGGAAACCCGCCUCUUAGGCUUUUAUCAAUGAAAGCAGAUGACUCAAGUGCACUUUGCAGGAAGAAGUGCACUUUCCGAGGGCUAUCUGACUGAGAAGAAGGUGGAAAGAAGUAGACGGUGUUUGCUUUACUUCAAGGCCUCAGGUGAACUUCAGUGGCACUUAAAAUGAUCUCUUUCUUUAUUUAUUCAUUCCACUGAAGCAGGUUUUGAGACCGAGGGUAACAAAAAAAGGUACAUCUUUAGCCUGAAACUGUAACAUGUCUAAUAUAAACAUGCUUUAUAUGAUAAAUGUGUAUUAGAGGUAUAUUUUCAGCCAGUGAGCUAUCCUCAGAGAUGUCGAACAUUUGUCAGCAGUCCUUCCCCUCACGAGUACGUAGCACCCUGACAGGUGGAGAUUACAUUAAUUGUAUGCUUUAUUCUAUAGAAAUGAUCAAAACCCUUAUGAAACAAAUGGCCAGUGUAAAGUUUUGCAAGAAUUUACAGAUGUUGGUCGAUCGUUGUAACUAAACCAAAGGUUGGCACUUAACUUGUUAUUUUUAUUGUUCAUUUAGGUUUGUAGCUUGUUGUUGAUUGUUUUUAGUUUUAUUUUUUUGGGUUGUGGAUGUGGGAGAAUGUAGCCAAUUGUAGCGCAUGAGUCCGCUAUGCAAAUCAACCUUCCCUCACAGUCCUGUAUCAGAGACGGUCAGGAAGCAGACACACCCACCGGCAGGCGCUCUUAUGGACGAAGAGGAGGAGACCUCGUGCAUAUUAUUGCUGCUGGUGCCCUUCGAAACCAUCUGGUGGAAAAACAAAGUGAAUGAAUGUAAUUUCAAAUGUGUACGUUUGCGAAUGACGGUCAGAGACAGAAAGGGGUAGAAAGCUGCUGAAGAUGGCUUAUUGUGUGUGGGUGUGUGAUGAGCGAGUGUUUGUCAGUUCGGGGGGUCAUGUUGCUCGGGGAAAGAGGGAACCUGUAUUUUUGCAAUAAAGUUAUUAUUAAUGCACUCCCAACGGGGGCGUAACCACCAUAA